rnacentral:rRNA from 1 species
GCAGUCGACGGCAGCACGGGAGCAAUCCUGGUGGCGAGUGGCGAACGGGUGAGUAAUACAUCGGAACGUGUCCUGGAGUGGGGGAUAGCCCGGCGAAAGCCGGAUUAAUACCGCAUACGCUCUGUGGAGGAAAGGGGGGGAUCGCAAGACCUCUCGCUCAAGGGGCGGCCGAUGGCAGAUUAGCUAGUUGGUGGGGUAAAGGCCUACCAAGGCGACGAUCUGUAGCUGGUCUGAGAGGACGACCAGCCACACUGGGACUGAGACACGGCCCAGACUCCUACGGGAGGCAGCAGUGGGGAAUUUUGGACAAUGGGCGCAAGCCUGAUCCAGCAAUGCCGCGUGUGUGAAGAAGGCCUUCGGGUUGUAAAGCACUUUUGUCCGGAAAGAAAACCUCUGCCCUAAUACGGCGGGGGGAUGACGGUACCGGAAGAAUAAGCACCGGCUAACUACGUGCCAGCAGCCGCGGUAAUACGUAGGGUGCAAGCGUUAAUCGGAAUUACUGGGCGUAAAGCGUGCGCAGGCGGUUCGUUAAGACAGAUGUGAAAUCCCCGGGCUUAACCUGGGAACUGCAUUUGUGACUGGCGGGCUAGAGUAUGGCAGAGGGGGGUAGAAUUCCACGUGUAGCAGUGAAAUGCGUAGAGAUGUGGAGGAAUACCGAUGGCGAAGGCAGCCCCCUGGGCCAAUACUGACGCUCAUGCACGAAAGCGUGGGGAGCAAACAGGAUUAGAUACCCUGGUAGUCCACGCCCUAANCGAUGUCAACUAGUUGUUGGGGAUUCAUUUCCUUAGUAACGUAGCUAACGCGUGAAGUUGACCGCCUGGGGAGUACGGUCGCAAGAUUAAAACUCAAAGGAAUUGACGGGGACCCGCACAAGCGGUGGAUGAUGUGGAUUAAUUCGAUGCAACGCGAAAANCCUUACCUACCCUUGACAUGGACGGAACCUGGCUGAAAGGCUGGGGUGCUCGAAAGANAACCGUCGCACAGGUGCUGCAUGGCUGUCGUCAGCUCNNGUCNUGAGAUNUUGGGUUAAGUCCCNCAACGAGCGCAACCCUUGUCCCUAGUUGCUACGCANGA